GAUGAACGCUAGCUACAGGCUUAACACAUGCAAGUCGAGGGGUAACGAGAGGAGAGCUUGCUUUCCUUGUCGACGACCGGCGCACGGGUGAGUAACGCGUAUCCAACCUGCCCCCAACUAAGGAAUAACCUUGCGAAAGUAAGACUAAUACCUUAUAAUUUCCUCAGAUGUCAUCUGACGAGGAAUAAAGAUUUAUCGGUUGUGGAUGGGGAUGCGUCUGAUUAGCUUGUUGGCGGGGUAACGGCCCACCAAGGCAACGAUCAGUAGGGGUUCUGAGGGGAAGGUCCCCCACAUUGGAACUGAGACACGGUCCAAACUCCUACGGGAGGCAGCAGUGAGGAAUAUUGGUCAAUGGGCGGAAGCCUGAACCAGCCAAGUAGCGCGCAGGAUGACGGCCCUAUGGGUUGUAAACUGCUUUUAUACAGGAAUAAAGUUAGCCACGUGUGGUUAUUUGUAGGUACUGUAUGAAUAAGGACCGGCUAAUUCCGUGCCAGCCGCCGCAGUAA
rnacentral:rRNA from 1 species